UCCUCUACCCUCGAGUUCUUGGUCUUCCUUCCUUGCAUUCGUGAAACAUGGAACACGCAGGUUCUAUUUUUUUUUUCCAUGGGAAUGUUCACCAUGAUUUUGAGCUUUGGUUUAGUCCUCUGAUCGAUCAGAAUUGCCAAAAAAGUUAGUUCUCAAAUCAAUUGGUGCUGCAAAACUGAAAUUACGGAUUAUGCCAUGGUGAUCCUGAUUUUGAACUAAUUGCUAGGGACAUAUGCAUUGAUAAAGAACAGCUGGGAUUUGUUUAAAGAAGAGAUAAAUCAAUGAUUCAGUAAAGUUGAAGUUCACUUCAGGAAUGAAGGAGCAGCAGCAGCAAAAGAACAUGGUUGAAGAAUAUCAUCACGACAUGUUCCCUGUUGAGGAGCUUGAGGUUAUUUUCCCCGAUGACAAUCUCAAUGUCUAUACUAUGUUUUAUUGCAGAUCCAUAAAGUGCCAGUAUUAUAAAGAAACAUCAGAUCCAAAAACUGUAUCUUUAAUCGUUUUGGGUUGAGGGACUAGGACUCGCCUUUGCUGUUAAAUCUCAAUAGAUGGACAAAGAAACCUGUUGCAAGAAACUUAACUAAAAUUUGUUUUGAUUAUCAGAUUGAUUCCUGUUUAAGAUGCAUGCAAAUAAUUAUUUCUGGUUCAAUCAAUAGGUUUCUAUUGGAGGAUGCACCAGGAUGAUUGAUGUCCCAGUAAGUAAUCGUAUCAGCAGCGGCAUAAGAUAUACAAUAUAUCCUUACUUUGUUCAAUUAUAUCUUUCCUUUUGCUACACCACUAGCAAUUUCAGGAAUGAUGUGAAUUUUGAAGAUGGAUUUAUAGAGGUUCUGGCUACGACUCAGUUUUCUUCCUUCCUUCAAUUUGCUGGAAGGAAGCGGUCUGAGGAACAAUUGAUGUCGUGAGAGUUCACCUGGAUUUUGAGAUAGGUAUGCUUAAGGUUUCACGUAAUAGUGAUUAAUAUGUGUCAAAUUAGAAUACAAGUGUCUAUACAUAGUUACCUACUGAAGUUAAGUUGCUAUUACGGUCCUUGCUUUCUCGAAAUUAUUGGGAAAUUAUGAACAUAUUAGCGGGAUAUAAAAAAUUUAUUAGCUUUUGUUUGGAAUGUAAUUAUUUAGCUUAGUACAUGUACCAACUGAAUGUAAUCAUUGACGAACCAAUUAUAAAGCUUACAAUCCAAAUUGUAACCUUCGAGUUUUUUCU